UGGCUCUCGCAUCGAUGAAGAACGCAGCGAAAUGCGAUAAGUAAUGUGAAUUGCAGAAUUCAGUGAAUCAUCGAAUCUUUGAACGCAUCUUGCACCUUCGGGUAUUCCCGAGGGUAUGUCUGUCUGAGUGUCAUUUGAACUCUCAAGGCUCCCUUUCCCUUCAAUGGGGUCUGGGCGCUUUGGAUCGUGGGUGUUUGCCGGUCUGGCCGGCUCACCUCAAAUCAAAUGGAGUGGUUUUCUCUGAAGCCUGUGUCGGGUUUGACCUGGAGUGGUAGAAGUCUUUCGAGAUCUCUGGGGACGCUUCGGCGGCCUGCUAUGGUGGGAGGGACUGCUUGGUUGGACUCAUCUGACGUUUUUGACCUCAGAUCAGGCAGGAUUACCCGCUGA
rnacentral:misc_RNA from 1 species